rnacentral:rRNA from 1 species
CCUUGGACCAUUCCCUGACGUUCCAGACGCGAAAGCUAGGGUAGCGAACGGGAUUAGAGACCCCGGUAGUCCUAGCUGUAAACGAUGUGAACUUGGCGUCGGUGGGGUUAAAUCCCAUCGGUGUCGAAGCUAACGCGAUAAGUUCCACCGCCUGAGGACUACGGCCGCAAGGUUAAAACUCAAAGGAAUUGACGGGGACCCGCACAAGCAGCGGAGCGUGUGGUUUAAUUCGUUGCUACACGAAGAACCUUACCUGGGUUUGACAUAUAGGUUGUAGGGAACUGAAAAGGGACCGACCCUUCGGGGAGCCUAUACAGGUGUUGCAUGGCUGUCGUCAGCUCGUGUCGUGAGAUGUUCGGUUAAGUCCGCUAACGAGCGCAACCCUCCGCCGCAUGUUAUAUGUGUCAUACGGGACUGCCGGUAAAAAGCCGGAGGAAGGUGAGGAUGAUGUCAAGUCAGCAUGACCUUUAUAUCCAGGGCUAC